rnacentral:rRNA from 1 species
CCAUCGGGGUAGACUAACUAGGAUUCCCUCAGUAGCGGCGAGCGAACAGGGAAAAGCCCAGCACUGAAUCCCGCGGCCGUCUCGGUCGCCGGGAAAUGUAGUGUUAGGGAGGGUCCGCCAUCCCGAGGCCGUGCGGCGAGUCAAAGUCCUUCUUGAACGGGGCCACUUACCCACAGAGGGUGCCAGGCCCGUAGAGACUGUCGCCGGCAGCGGGAGGAUCUCUCCUCAGAGUCGGGUUGCUUGAGAGUGCAGCCCUAAGUGGGUGGUAAACUCCAUCUAAGGCUAAAUAUGACCACGAGACCGAUAGCGAACAAGUACCGUGAGGGAAAGUUGAAAAGAACUUUGAAGAGAGAGUUCAAUAGUACGUGAAACCGUUCAGGGGUAAACCUGAGAAACCCGAAAGGUCGAAUGGGGAGAUUCAGCGCGUCUCGUCGCUCGCGAGCGGUGGGAGCCGUGACGGUCGGCGCGUUCGCGCGCCGAUCGCACCUUCCGUCGCCGAUUUGAGGCGAACGCGUGCACUUCUCCCCUAGUAGGACGUCGCGACCCGUUGGGCGCCGGUCUAAGGGCCGCGGUGGAGACCGGGUGGCGCUUCGGCGUUCCGCCCGGACCCGCGGUUUCCGGCCGGCUCGCUCGACGGUACGACAGUGGCGCGGGGCCGCGAUCUUUUCGCGUCCGGCCCGUCGCAAGUGCGGGCGGUUAAUCUGGCGGUCGGACCUGGUGCCGACUCCGGACCCGCCCUGCUGCUGGCGACGGUGUCCUCGGACAGACCCCGAUCAUACGCCGGUCGGCGACGCUAGAGAUUUGGGUACUUUCAGGACCCGUCUUGAAACACGGACCAAGGAGUCUAGCAUGUGCGCGAGUCAUUGGGACUUAUCGAAACCUAAAGGCGCAAUGAAAGUAAAGGCCGCCUCGCGCGCGCCUAGGGAGGAUGCGCCGGGCGCAUACGAACCGGUGCCGCACUCCCGGGGCGUCUCGUGCUCAUUACGAGCGGAGGCGCACCCAGAGCGUACACGCUGGGACCCGAAGAAGGUGAAUAUGCUGUCAGACAUCAGACGACACACCCCCCCUUAUAAACAUAUAACUCCACAAACAAAGGGGGGGUUUUGGCAACCCCCCCGGGG